CCUACGGGAGGCAGCAGUGAGGAAUAUUGGUCAAUGGGCGAGAGCCUGAACCAGCCAAGUCGCGUGAGGGAGUACUGCCCUAUGGGUUGUAAACCUCUUUUGUCGGGGAGCAAAAGCCGGACGUGUCCGGCUGUGAGAGUACCCGAAGAAAAACAAUCGGCUAACUCCGUGCUAGCAGCCGCGGUAAUACGGAGGAUGCGAGCGGUAUCCGGAUUUAUGGGGGUUAAAGGGUGCGCAGGCGGAUUUUUAAGUCAGCGGUCAAAUGGUGGGGCUAAACCCCAUUCGGCCGUUGAAACUGGGGAUCUAGAGUGUGCGAGAGGUAUGCGGAAGGCGUGGUGUAGCGGUGAAAUGCAUAGAUAUCACGCAGAACCCCGAUUGCGAAGGCAGCAUACCGGUGCACAACUGACGCUCAGGCACGAAAGCGUGGGUAUCGAACAGGAUUAGAUACCCCGGUAGUC
rnacentral:rRNA from 1 species